rnacentral:rRNA from 1 species
CUACGAAGGGGGCAAGCGUUGUUCGGAAUAACUGGGCGUAAAGCGCACGUAGGCGGAAUGUUAAGUUAGAGGUGAAAUCCCAGGGCUCAACCCUGGAACGGCCUUUAAUACUGGCAAUCUAGAGACCGAGAGAGGUGAGUGGAAUUCCGAGUGUAGAGGUGAAAUUCGUAGAUAUUCGGAGGAACACCAGUGGCGAAGGCGGCUCACUGGCUCGGUACUGACGCUGAGGUGCGAAAGCGUGGGGAGCAAACAGGAUUAGAAACCCUAGUAGUCC